GAGUUUGAUCGUGGCUCAGAUUGAACGCUGGCGGCAUGCCUUACACAUGCAAGUCGAACGGCAGCACGGGAGCUUGCUCCUGGUGGCGAGUGGCGAACGGGUGAGUAAUGCAUCGGAACGUAUCCUGGAGUGGGGGAUAACGUAGCGAAAGUUACGCUAAUACCGCAUAUUCUGUGAGCAGGAAAGCGGGGGACCUUCGGGCCUCGCGCUCUUGGAGCGGCCGAUGUCGGAUUAGCUAGUUGGUGAGGUAAGGCUCACCAAGGCGACGAUCCGUAGCAGGUCUGAGAGGAUGAUCUGCCACACUGGAACUGAGACACGGUCCAGACUCCUACGGGAGGCAGCAGUGGGGAAUUUUGGACAAUGGGGGCAACCCUGAUCCAGCCAUGCCGCGUGAGUGAAGAAGGCCUCGGUUGUAA
rnacentral:rRNA from 1 species